rnacentral:lncRNA from 1 species
UUUGGCCCGCGCUGCUGCUUCCUGUGUGUACUGGAUGUUCUCUAGGCUCGCCCAGCGUGGAAGCCCCGAGUUACCAGCCGCAACGUGGAAACCACAGAAGGGGAAAUAGAUGACUUUUGGUUAUCCAGAUCUCUUUGAAUCUUGUUCCUGUCAACUGACUUAUUAGUGCCAUCUCCUAAUUCUGUGUCAACUUGACAAGCCUGCUGUCUUUCCCUUCAUCCAAGUUGCCAAUAAAAAUGCUCAACAAGGCAGAGUGCUUUAGCAAGACCUGGAGAGAUCUCCUACAACCAACCUCCUGCUGCAAGAAUUCCAUUUUUGGCAUUGCCGACGAAUCCUACAUGUUAAAGAACAUCUCUUUGAUGAUAGUCAAGAAAGAAUCUAGACAUUCGCUCACCUCCUGCACUGUGAGCUCCUUGAGGGGUCUCAAUGGAGCCUGAUGAAUGAAUCAAUUGCAUGAGUACAUUCCACACAUGGGAACCCAGGGAUGGCUGCCAUCAUGCUAUACAAAGUACAGAUCAUCACUGAACAUUAGGCUGGCAGCUCUGAAUGGGGCUGGCAAAGAGCAGCAGAGGUUCAUGGCCUGGAUUUUCUCUGAUCUCAUUUGUAUCCUUCAUCCUAAAUUUAGUUUUGUUUUUUGAAAUGGUUUAUCUUUUAAAAACCGUAUACCUGUUUUACAAGGAUCUCACAAAGAUUAACAAUAUGUAUGCUAUGAAGGAUCCCAUCUGCCUCAGAGAAGAUACGCUUUUCAUCACAGACUGUAUACUUUUUACAGUUCUUAUCUAUUUAUUCUACUGCAAAAACUGCCGAUUCUACAGAGCCUAUUAAUUCCACUGGGAAAACAUGUACGGAAUGUGCUCAUGAGUAUGGGACUUCCUGUAAUUGUUGGAAAGAAGAAAAAGGCUGAUAGAAAAAACAUUUUGGCCUGGCACUCAGGAGAAAACUUCUGCUGAGGAAUGAACAGGGAAAAACAAUGAUGGACCACCUCAAGGAACAAAUCGGAUAGCUUCGACUUCCCCUCUGGAAGCCCUGCUGCGCUGGGAUGCACCUAUCCCUACUUCUUAGAUGUUCCCAUAUGUUCUCAACAGCAUUCUGUCCCUCCUAAGCAGUGUCACUAAAGCUAGCUGGUCUCUUAGGAUUGUUACCUUUAUUGAUGAUUUUCCCUUUGUGCUUCCUGGUGUCUGGCACCAAGACCACACCCCUACUUCUCCAAUGGCCCUUUCCCUCAGUAAGCUUAGCUUAUUGCUCACCUCCCACCUUCUCCCUGAACCCCAGCAGAAAGACAUGGACCUGUCAGAUGCUCCCGAUAUUUAAGUGUCUAUGCCAAAAUCUCAUGUGGACCUUGUUUGUUCAAAUGAGUUACUAUUGAGAGAGACAGCAAAGUCAUCUUCUUUAGGGAACCUGAAAAUUGUCUUCAGUCUGAAAAUUGUCUUCAGAAGGAGCAAAAGAUAGGUGAGAGGGAGAGGAUAAGAGGAGAGCCAUGUAUUCUCCUGACCAUGAGCUCGCGGUAGAUAAACCCCUGGUUACCUGAAGGCAGCACCGUGAGCACCAUCCGCUGUGACUCAUCGGAUGCUUGAUUAAUCCACUUGCUUGGGUGUCCAUGGAGCUGCCACUCUGCCACCCUACACCAGUACAUUCCUGCAUCCUCCAUCUCCACCUGAUGAAGCUUCAGGACAAAGUCUGUAGAGGAUGAACGGUAACAGUGCAGGUGCCUCCUGAGCCCCUCUUCCCCAUACUCCAGCAAGCCAUCAUGUUGCAAGUGCACCAGCAAUUUACUUCCAGAGUUUUCUCUGUUCCAGUACCACAUCACAGAGUACAGAGUGGCUGAGCUGCCUACACUCUCCAGGCUGCAGCGGAUGGCCACUUCUCUGUGCUCAGUCACAUUUUCGGUCCAGUACACUUUGGAGACACGUACCUUACUUCCUAGAAAAUAAAAUGGCAGUAAAUUA